rnacentral:rRNA from 1 species
GGAUGCGAUCAUACCAGCACUAAAGCACCAGAUCCCAUUAGAACUUCGUAGUUAAGCACGCUUGGGCGAGAGUAGUACUAGGAUGGAUGAACCCCUGGGAAGUCCUUGUGUUGCAUCCC